AAAUGUUAAUAUUAUCGUAAAAAACUUAUAAAAGUUCUAACAAGUCUCGAAGAAUUUAAAUAGAAGUUUAAGAAAAAAAAAAAAAUUUCCAAACACGCCAGUAACUUUAAUACCAGUAACAAAUCCACUCCAUAAUAUACAAUCUACAAUAUUAUUAUAAGGAUAAACAAAGUUUAAAUAAGCGAACAAUUAGUAGACAAAAGCGUAGACGUAUUGUCCGUCAAUUUGUUUUAAAUUUCUUUGAUCGCAUUGUUUCGCGCCUACGAUCGCGGGCGUACCAGUAGACCAAGUAAAAGGGGAGACAUAAGUGCGUGGUCAGAGACUUUACUUGCUCAUUACUCUCUUUACUCCCAUGUACGUAAUACAUCUCAGCCCGACACUCGCUGGAUAAUUUAAUGACCAAUCAACUUGAUUUAAAGUCUUCAAUUCGCAAGGAGUAAAUUGGAUUUCCGGUUACUCUUCUCUGAAUACCAUCGAAAAUUGCCUCGCAUCUAUCCGCUCUUGUAUCUACAAUCUACGAUAAUAUCAAAUUUUAAUGAUACACGUUUUCAUGCUCGUACACGAGGAUAGGAAUCGAUUGCCCGCGGAGAAGAAGGGCAGUCUCAUUACACGGUUUUAUUUCCUCGGGAUUACCGAUAGAACCGUUCGGGAUCGAAUGCAUAUACAAACCACCAGCCCAGCAAAGCCAAAACAAAGCCCACUUAGCUGUCCUAAAUUUCUGCAAAUAAGAGGGCCUGAAAGAAAACCACCCGCACAAAGACUUGGACACCGACACUUGUGAAUCUAAUUGCUCUUCAGCUUUUAUUUCUUCCUUGAUGGUCGCCACAUCGUGCUCGACAAAUUUAGAGAAGAAAUCAAAGAAGACUAAAGAAUGUGCCAUUCUUUCCACUCAACCAAAAACUUACACUAAAUGAAAAUUUAUCGCGCAUCUUAAAAAGAAUAGCCUAAAAAAUCAGUAAAAAAAGCUUCGAUGACCAUCACUCUUUAUGUGGACAAAGCGAGUGAAGAAGACUAUGUUAACUGAACAACCCGUGAGACAUUAAGCCAACUCCUGAGAGAAAUACCCAGUCUUAAAUAAAAUUAAAAUAUAAAAAUUGAAAUGAAACUAAGAAGAUGUCUAGCUGGGUUUACUUAGCCCAGAGUAAACAGAAGGAAUGAAAAAAUAAAAAAAAAACAAAGAGCAACAAAGAAGCAAUAGUAAAGAAGAGAAGGGUAGAUGCCACGCGACUGUCCAUAAAUUUACCAGAAUUAAUACAAAGAUCUAUUGCUUCCGUUUUGCAUAUUAAUGAUUAUAUGUACACAGCUAUACAUAUGAAUAGGUGUAUACAAAGCCUGUUAUGUAAAUAUAUGACCCAUUGAGUAAAAAGAGGGAUUACGAGGAUGAGUAGGAUGAGGAGCGAGCGCGUGACAUAUACUCGUAGGUGGACCCUUUUAACUAAUUUAUCCGGACGGACUAUUAUAUAAACGAAUAUGUAAUUACGCUUUUUUUCAGAGAUAGCCGGAGCUUUUUUAUUUUUAUUUGCUUCAUUUUAUAAUUUUAGGUUGAUGGGCCCGGAGGCCGGAGGCUGAGUUUUAAAAACGCUCGUGCAAAUACCAAAUAGCAAUAGUGUGUAGGGUGACUUGCGGUUCGUUAUUUGCACUUUGAACGAGCAGCGGGGAUCGAGAUAGAGAGAAAAAUGAUAAAGUCGAAUUGUUGAACUUUGUCGUGUGUCGAGUUGAGAGUGGAGCAAAGGGUGCUUGCCUUGUUGCGUGGGCGUCGGAAUCAAACGUUAAUUGCCGUCUGCUUCGGAUAAUCGAUUUUCGAUCGUUAUACUCAAUCUCGCUGCUUUUAAUCGUGUUUCAUUUUUGACAGACUCACGGAUUUAUAAUGUCAAUUGUCAAAUUUUAUUCAUCAAACAUCCGCUUUUUUUUUUUUUACAAUUUAAUGAUUGACACAAAUAUUGAAGUAUUUAAAAGACUACUGCGCUAAUUACACGACAAUGCACCCCGAAGAUUCAAAAAAAUUCCCAAGCAUCUAUUCUCUUCUAUUAUAUCACUUUACUCCGACAAAAGUAGAGAACAGAGAGCCGAGCCAUCAGCAAAUGAACCGCCUGGAGUUUUACACAUAGCCGAUUCAAGGAGCUAUCCGAAACACUCAACCCGUAUUUAGAGCAACCAGCCAACGAUAUUUCUUCUCGCUCUACUCUAAAUUCCAGCAUCUACCAACAUAUUCAACACAUCCAGGCACGUAUAGCUUUUAAAUUAUUUAUACUUACUAUUUCUUCCGACAGCUCCAAUGCUGGGUUAUUUAUCCCCGCCAUUCUAGACCUAGAAGACAUAUUUGUUAACUUUUUAUUUAUUUAUUUAAAUAUUUAAAUAUCUAUUUAUUUAUUUAUUUAUAUAUUAGAUAGUGACUUGCGAGUCAAGGUUAGCUGAUAAGAUAACAAUUUAGCAGAUAAAUAAUAAUUUAAAAUAUAAUAAUAAUCAUUUCAUGUCUGCAACAGUACACAUACUCGGUUUAUUUAACAGGAUAAUCAUCACUCAUCACUUUCGAUUUAUUUAUGUACUUUAAAGAGCUGCAAUUAUUUUUUUUUAUUAUUAAACUCUUGUCUGGUCAUAAAUUAAU